rnacentral:rRNA from 1 species
UACGUAGGGUGCGAGCGUUAAUCGGAAUUACUGGGCGUAAAGCGUGCGUAGGCGGUCCGCGAAGUCUGAUGUGAAAGCCCCGGGCUCAACCUGGGAACUGCAUUGGAAACUAACGGGCUCGAGUGUGGCAGAGGGGGGGUGGAAUUCCACGUGUAGCAGUGAAAUGCGUAGAGAUGUGGAGGAACACCGAUGGCGAAGGCAGCCCCCUGGGCUAACACUGACGCUCAGGCACGAAAGCGUGGGGAGCAAACAGG